rnacentral:rRNA from 1 species
AUUGAACGCUGGCGGCAGGCUUAACACAUGCAAGUCGAACGGGUGUAGCAAUACAUCAGUGGCAGACGGGUGAGUAACACGUGGGAACCUUCCUAGGGGUACGGAACAACUCAGGGAAACUUGAGCUAAUACCGUAUACGUCCGUGAGGAGAAAGAUUUAUCGCCCUUAGACGGGCCCGCGUCGGAUUAGCUAGUUGGUGGGGUAACGGCCUACCAAGGCGACGAUCCGUAGCUGAUCUUAGAGGAUGAUCAGCCACACUGGGACUGAGACACGGCCCAGACUCCUACGGGAGGCAGCAGUGGGGAAUCUUGGACAAUGGGCGCAAGCCUGAUCCAGCCAUGCCGCGUGAGUGAAGAAGGUCUUCGGAUUGUAAAGCUCUUUUGCCAGGGACGAUAAUGACGGUACCUGGAGAAUAAGCCCCGGCAAACUUCGUGCCAGCCGCCGCCGUAACAC